rnacentral:rRNA from 1 species
AAUGAACGUUGGCGGCGUGGAUUAGGCAUGCAAGUCGAGCGCGGACCCCACAAGGGGUGAAAGCGGCGAAAGGGAGAGUAACGCGUGGGUAUUUACCCUCGGGACUGGGAUAGCGGCGGGAAACUGCAGGUAAUACCAGAUGACGUCCCCGGACCAAAGGUGUGAUUCCGCCUGAGGAUAAGCCCGCGUCCUAUUCGCUAGUUGGUGAGGUAAUGGCUGACCAAGGCAAUGAUGGGUACUGGGUGUGAGAGCACGACCCAGCUCACUGGGACUGAGACACUGCCCAGACACCUACGGGUGGCUGCAGUCGAGAAUCUUCGGCAAUGGGCGCAAGCCUGACCGAGCGACGCCGCGUGUGGGAUGAAGGCCUUCGGGUUGUAAACCGCUGUCAGAGGGGAGGAAUGGGCGGACGGUAAUCUCUUCGUUUUGACCUAUCCUCAGAGGAAGUACGGGCUAAGUUCGUGCCAGCCGCCGCCGUAA